GGGGGGAGGCCGGAUCCUGGGCUCUGUCCCGGCGCCCUGUGUCCCGGGUCUGCCCUGUUGGAUUCGAGCUCCGCCGGGCAGCCCCCU
rnacentral:pre_miRNA from 1 species